rnacentral:rRNA from 1 species
UACAGAGGUCUCAAGCGUUGUUCGGAUUCAUUGGGCGUAAAGGGUGCGUAGGCGGCGCGGUAAGUCGGGUGUGAAAUCUUGGAGCUUAACUCCGAAACUGCAUUCGAUACUGCCGUGCUUGAGGACUGGAGAGGAGACUGGAAUUUACGGUGUAGCGGUGAAAUGCGUAGAUAUCGUAAGGAAGACCAGUGGCGAAGGCGGGUCUCUGGACAGUUCCUGACGCUGAGGCACGAAGGCCCAGGGGAGCAAACAGG